ACAAAUCAGAUAUUCCCAAUCCUGUCCUUUUCAAAGAGUAUAAUUCUGUAUCUUCUUUAUCAUCUGUGCAGGUGUUAUCUUCUCCCCAUGGGUUAAUAACUUUGGGUUUUUACUUCUUGUUGCUUUGGUAUGUCCAGAGAUGAAGAGUGGCUAACAGAAGAAAGAAACAGUUUCCCCUUUCUAACUUUGCAUAGGAUUUUUGGGGGUUUAGAUCCGAAGAAGGGGUGGC
rnacentral:misc_RNA from 1 species